rnacentral:tRNA from 1 species
GCUUAGGUAGUUUAAAAAACGUCAACUUGUGGUGUUGGAGAUGUCUUCACAGGCCCUGAGUA